rnacentral:rRNA from 1 species
GUCCUAGCCCUAAACGAUCAGGACUUGGGGUGCAUCCCGACGGGGUGCGUCCCGUAGCUAACGCGUUAAGUCCUGCGCCUGGGGAGUACGGUCGCAAGACUGAAACUCAAAGGAAUUGACGGGGGCCCGCACAAGCGGUGGAACAUGUGGUUCAAUUCGACGCAACGCGAAGAACCUUACCUGGGCUUGAACUGCCACUGACCAGCGGUGGAAACAUCGCCUUCCCGCAAGGGACAGUGGUAGAGGUGCUGCAUGGCUGUCGU